rnacentral:rRNA from 1 species
GUUGAACGCUGGCGGCAGGCCUAACACAUGCAAGUCGAGCGGAUGGACCGAGCUUGCUCCUGGAUUCAGCGGCGGACGGGUGUGUGAUGCCUAGGAAUCUGCCUGGCAGUGGGGGAUAACGUCCGGAAACGGGCGCUCAUACCGCAUACGUCCUGAAGGGGAAAGUGGGGGAUCUUCGGACCUCACGCUAUCUGAUGUGCCUACGUGGGAUUAGCUCGUUGGUGGGGUAAAGGCCUACCAAGACGACUAGCCGUAACUGGUCUGAGAGGAGGAUCAGUCACACUGGAACUGAGCCACGGUCCAGACUCCUACGGGAGGCCGCAGUGGGGAAUAUUGGACAAUGGGCGAAAGUCUGAUCCAGCGAUGCCGCGUGUGGCAAGAAGGUCGUCGGAUUGUAAAGCACUUUAAGGUUGGAGGAAGGUCAGUAUGGUAAUACCGUGUUGUUUUGACGUUACCAACAGAAUAAGCACCGGCUAACUUCGUG